ensembl:snRNA U2 U2 spliceosomal RNA
AUCACUUCUCAGCCUUUUGGCUAAGAUCAAGUGUAAAUUAAAAGUCCAGAGAUUUUAGGAUAUUCAGUAAUAAGGUUUUUUUGUGUUGAAAUGAUUUUCCCUGUUGUAGCACAAUUCAAUUGAGUAGCUGAAACAGACUCUAU